rnacentral:rRNA from 1 species
GAAUUUUGGACAAUGGGCGAAAGCCUGAUCCAGCAAUGCCGCGGGCAGGAUGAAGGCCUUCGGGGUGUAAACUGCUUUUGUACGGAACGAAAAGCUUUGGGUUAAUACCCUGGAGCCAUGACGGGACCGUAAGAAAAAGCACGGGCACACUACGUGCCAGCAUCCGCGGUAAUACGUAGGGUGCAAGCGUAAAUCGGAAUUACUGGGCGUAAAGCGUGCGCAGGCGGUUUUGUAAGACAGAGGUGAAAGCCCCGGGCUCAACCUGGGAACUGCCUUUGUGACUGCAAGGCUAGAGUACGGCAGAGGGGGGUGGAAUUCCGCGUGUAGCAGUGAAAUGCGUAGAUAUGCGGAGGAACACCGAUGGCGAAGGCAACCCCCUGGGCCUGUACUGACGCUCAUGCACGAAAGCGUGGGGAGCAAACA